ensembl:lncRNA
UCUUCGUAGUAGUUCAGAACCACCAUGCGAGUGAAAUGCAAGCGUGAUGGUUGUACUUUGGUUUCAAUGUGUGGAGGAGUCGUCACCAAAAUCCCAGAUUUCCACCACGGAAAAUAGCCUUAUAUCAGCUGCAUUGAAAACGAUGUCUCUCGUUAUUGCCGUGGCUCUAGCACUUUACUGUGGAAGCUGUCUGGCCUUUCAGUGUUCUCUUUACAGGCAUGGUUGAUUUUAGUAGAGUGCCGUGGUGGUUCUGUAGGUGUCUUUGCGUAGUGCUCAUGUUAGCCGUGGCAUACGGGACUAUUUUCUUACAGUGCUUACAUGUUUUCGUGAAUUGUCUGUUACUCUGUCGCCGUUUAUUAUUUCCACCGGGUACCUGCCACACAAACUAUUUAAAAGUGGUGGGGGCAUCUUCUAUGCUAAUAUCCCCCUCACACUCUGUCAUGCUGAUAUUGUGAGACAGCUUUUCACCUCGAUGAGAAAUAUUGUCACGUUUUAAUAUCGCGAGAUCUCGUCACAUCCCUAGUAAUCACAGAUAGUUGCAGGUAGUAACGGGUAGUCUCAGGUAGUAACAGAUAGUCUCAGGUAGUAACAGAUAGUCUCAGGUAGUAACAGAUAGUCUCAGGUAGUAACAGGUAGUCUCAGGUAGUAACAGGUAGUCUCAGGUACUCUCAGGUAGUAACAGUAGUCUCAAGUAGUAACAGAUAGUCUCAGGUAGUAACGGGUAGUCUCAGGUAGUAACAGAUAGUCUCAGGUAGUAACGGGUAGUCUCAGGUAGUAACGGGUAGUCUCAGGUAGUAAAGGGUAGUCUCAGGUAGUAACAGAUAGUCUCAGGUAGUAACAGGUAACCGAACAUUAUGUGGUGAACACACACAGGCACGAUUUAUACACACAGUGACACGUUCCACCCUCAGAACACCUCUCGUCCAAUCAGAUCAGUGGACUGGAACUAAGAGCUGUAUAAGUAGUUAAUAACACACUCCAGACCGUGUGCAGGAACAUAAUCCAUUUCGGAGUAGUAACAGUAACUCCGCUUUAUCACACCAUCCUGUCAUUGAUCAUUUUCCUAUAACAGCACCACCUGGAGUGAUUAUUUCAAUACUUACUGGUGUUUUUUCUGUAAAAAGCCACGCCCCUCACACAACUAGUGAAGUUCUGUUUUUAUUUCCUCGGAAUGUUCCGGGUUUUUACAAACAGCUUUAUAACUACAGUAACAUUUUUAACUUUCCUGAAGUAGUCGGCAGAAAUCUCUCUGGAGUUUGACUUGCAUUUAUUUAUUUAUUUAUUAAUUGAUUGUUGCUGAGC